rnacentral:rRNA from 1 species
GACGAACGCUGGCGGCGUGCCUAAUACAUGCAAGUCGAGCGAAUCUGAGGGAGCUUGCUCCCAAAGAUUAGCGGCGGACGGGUGAGUAACACGUGGGCAACCUGCCUGUAAGACUGGGAUAACUCCGGGAAACCGGGGCUAAUACCGGAUAAUAUCUAUUUAUACAUAUAAUUAGAUUGAAAGAUGGUUCUGCUAUCACUUACAGAUGGGCCCGCGGCGCAUUAGCUAGUUGGUGAGGUAACGGCUCACCAAGGCGACGAUGCGUAGCCGACCUGAGAGGGUGAUCGGCCACACUGGGACUGAGACACGGCCCAGACUCCUACGGGAGGCAGCAGUAGGGAAUCUUCCGCAAUGGACGAAAGUCUGACGGAGCAACGCCGCGUGAGUGAUGAAGGUUUUCGGAUCGUAAAACUCUGUUGUUAGGGAAGAACAAGUAUCGGAGUAACUGCCGGUACCUUGACGGUACCUAACCAGAAAGCCACGGCUAACUACGUGCCAGCCGCCGCAGUAACAC